GAUGAACGCUAGCGGGAGGCCUAACACAUGCAAGCCGAGCGGUCUUGUUUCUUCGGUGCUGAGAGAGCGGCGUACGGGUGCGUAACACGUGUGCAACCUGCCUUUAUCUGGGGGAUAGCCUUUCGAAAGGAAGAUUAAUACUCCAUAAUAUAUUGAACGGCAUCGUUUAAUAUUCAAAGCUCCGGCGGCUCGAGCUGGGCACGCGCCAGAUUAGCUAGUUGGUGAGGUAACGGCUCACCAAGGCGAUGAUCUUUAGGGGGCCUGAGAGGGUGAUCCCCCACACUGAUACUGAGACGCGGACCAGACGAGGACGGGAGGCAGCAGUGAGGAAUAUUGGGCAAUGGGUGCAAGCCUGAACCAGCCAUCCCGCGUGAAGGACGACUGCCCUAUGGGAUGUAAACUUCGUUUGUAUAGGGAUAAACCUACCCUCGAGGGGGUAGCUGAAGGUACUAUACGAAUAAGCACCGGCUAACUCCGUG
rnacentral:rRNA from 1 species